rnacentral:rRNA from 1 species
UACGGGGGGGGCAAGCGUUGUUCGGAAUUACUGGGCGUAAAGGGUCUGUAGGUGGCCAACUAAGUCAGACGUGAAAUCCCUCAGCUUAACUGGGGAACUGCGUCUGAGACUGGAUGGCUUGAGUGCAGGAGAGGAACGCGGAAUUCCAGGUGUAGCGGUGAAAUGCGUAGAUAUCUGGAGGAACACCGGUGGCGAAGGCGGCAUCCUGGACCAACACUGACGCUGAGGAGCGAAAGCCAGGGGAGCAAACGGG